rnacentral:lncRNA from 1 species
CUCUCCUGUGUUCAGUGGUUUAGUACCUGCCCACAUAGCUGUGUGGCUAGAUAUCAGGGACUAGAGAGCCUAUGAACUCUUGCUCCCAAAACAUUGGCACUACAGGAGAUAAGUGUGUGUCUCACUAAGACGUAUUAAGCCUUACAUUUUCCAUAGGUUAACGACUCAAAAGUAGCAUGCAUUUUUGUGUGAUUGACAAGGCAGAGCACUACUUGCACUGCAGCCAGGAUGCAGGCACACAGACAGCUUGUCUCACCUCUGCUUCUUAAAUAAGCAGCAUUUAAAGCACAUAAUGACAAAAGUGCUUGCAAGACCAGUCAAGCUUUUAAAGGGAUAGUUUAGUUUUAAGGCAGUACUGUGUAUGAAAUAGAAACUAAAAUUUCAUUGCACUUGACACAAAUGAAGAUCCCCUCGGACGGCAGGUGCUGAGCCUUGGUUGUUCAGCGAGGAGAACCUUCCCUAUAACUGCCUUCUUCUGCCUGUGUGCAAAUGCACAGGCUGCGAGCUGCAGCAUCUCUCAGGACAGCUUGCUCUGUGAAUUCUCUCCGUGUACAAAUUACAUUACUCUGAGACCAGAGGAAGUAAUUUAAUGCUGGAAUUCUCCAAAGAGUUUGUCUGCUUGUUUUGCUGAGGUGUAGCUAUGUUAUACCAUGCAUAUAAAGCAGUGGGGUUUGACAACCCUCUCUUCUUCACAGUCAUAACUUCUCUCCUGAGAAUUAGAUCAGUGGCUUUAUACUGAGAAUUGCUGGGUACUCGCUACUUCAUUUUCUUUGCAUACCACCCUCAGCUGAAGGCCAAGCCCGAGUGAUGCCUGCAGGGGCAGCCAGCUGCUUCUCACGCUUAGUGAGUGACCAAUGGGCCACAGCUGGGCAACAUGCACCUUCCUUCCCUAUAUAUACCAGCUCUCACACAGCUGAAGUCAUGUAUUUGGGUAUAUCUUCAAGUCCCACCUCAUCCUUGUGGUGUACAGUGAUGAAAAUCUUCUGUGCUGCACAGCUUUUGUUACCUCCUGAGGCACAGAGCAUUUAUGUCGGCCUGCACUCGCCUCUGUGCGUGGGUGGAAGUCUGAGCAAUUUUACCCUUCCAGACAAAGAGAAGAGAAGACCAACUGCUUCAGCCAGGGAGGGAAUUCAACUGGUGAGCACAGACUGUGGGUAACCACUCCAGCAUUCCCACGCAUUGCCAAGCACCCGCAAGCCUUGAAUUUACGAGCUCAGUCUGAGUUGCAAAUUGAACGAGACCUGCUUCUUUUGAAUUUCCUAGCUUCAUAGUUUUGAUCCUUAUGUUUCAUUGCGUUAAAUCCUUUCAUGUUUGGGACAGUAUAAAACUUCUGUUUUCUUUUUCUGCGUUAGCAAGAAAGAGUCACUUUGUAUUCUGGGUGUUUUGCAAAAGAUGUUUAACUGAAAUUGUUGUUUAUUGUCAUAACCGAAAAGCACUUCCUUUCAUGUUUCAUUUUAAAUGCAGCCCUGAUGCUCACAAAUAAUAAAAUACAAACUCAUCUUUGCAGUUGCAAAAGUUGGUAAAGCACAUAAGCAAUUCUGGGAUUUUCUUGUUUCCAUUAAAAAUGCCCAAUGUCCUGUAUUUGCAUGGUUGCUAACAUGAUUUAGAUCUGGCCUGCUAAGCUCUUUUCAGCAUACUGUAGGUCUAAUUGUACAAUUUUCCCAAAGAGGAACGCCAGCUUUUCCCUUUUCUGUGACAGAAACGCUCCCGCUGUGAACCUGCAGCAGGGCUCUGCUCCCCAGCGGGGCACGGGGGGGCACUUCCAGCCCCAUUUCCUCCACCAGGCGGGGAGCAGGGGUCCCCAGGGCUUCCCCAGCUCUCCUUGGGGCUCUGCCUCUCUGACAGUUGCCAGCUUGCAGCCACACCUGCUCAGGGCCACUAAACUGUUUUAUGAGAAAAGCAGCUUAAUAUCUUCCAGUAAAAAUCAUUUUGGAGGUUCCGUCCCCCUGAGCCUCCUUUUCCUUUUACCCCUGCCUCUCCUGCAGGCUCGGUGCAAACCUAAUUCCCUGUGAGCGUGAACAAUCCCAUCUCUGGUUUUUAUACAUUCGGUAUAAACAUUUCCUGAAGCUCAUAAACACCUUUGUCAUUUAUCAGUGCAGUGAAAGAUGUUUAUUGCCUAAAUAUGAAAACUGUGAUAGGAUUAGUGCUUAAAGAGGCUCGCCGCCUGAUUCUGUAUGGUGAUGUUCUCCAAAGGAGGGGCGACUUUGGGACCGGGUUUUCAUUGUGAAUACAAAGGCCCCCACUUUUUAAUUACUGGUAGCAUUGAUUGCAACUUCCAGCAUUAAAUGGCGAGCACUGUCUGACCAAAGCUCAUUUUACAGCAGUUCUGGUAUGUACCAAAUUGAAGGAGGUAAAAGAAAAUGGUCGGGGUGGUGGGGGAGGAAGAGGAGAUCUAUAACUGGCAUGUUAAUAAAACUCCAGUUUGUCACUUCAGCAGCACACCCUGAGUGUAAUAACUAAGCUUCCUUUCUAUACCCCCUAUGAGUCCCUUUGUAUUGACAGAUGCCAUUUGUUCAUUUACGACGUGAUAAUAAAAACCUUCAGUUUUACUGAAUGUUGUUCUUUUCCUCCCCUGACACUGGGGCACCAAAUGGUUUGUACUGCACUCAGCAGGCACUUUUCAUUAGAGAUCAUGGCAUGAAAAUGAACUGUAUUUGAAAACCAUUUAGUAGCAAAAGUUCUGGUAUUGAAUAGGCUGCAUAUAAAUCUUCCCUACCUAGGAAGCGGCUUCCUAGGUGCCUCGGCACACACUAGCACGCAUUUACAGAUGCAUGCUGAAAUAAUGGGUGUCUUUAUGUCAAGCAGUGCCGCUGCAUUUGAGAGUCCAAGUGCUCGGAUUCCUGUAGUAAUGAUUGUAUGUUGGUAUCAGUUUCCUGUGAUAUAUUUCUUUUAAAUCUCCAUCCAGAUUUAAAUGGCUCAGAAACAUUUCUUUUGGUUUAUCUGUAUUUCUUUAAACUCAUGAUUUCAAAUGUUUCCAGAAGUUUUCUCUUACACACACACACACACAAAUUAAGCCAAAACUGUAAAUUCAGAUGUCUGGAAACUAGCAUCUGAAUUGAUAAUUAAGCCUUUAUUCAGGAAUGCUUGUAAACAUCAGCUCAAAGUUUAUUUUUAAGCACUAUUCAGAACUCAGGCUUACAACACCUAAAAAUGUGACUUGGUUUUCAAAGACACUGAAUGCUCAGCAUUCCCACUGACCUGAAAAGAAUAUAAGUGCAUAACUUGUGUUUGAUUCACCUUUGAAACUGAUGUCCACAAGUUAGAAAUAUUUUGUCCAAAAUGUAACAACAUUAUAAAAUGUGUAAAACAAACAAACAAACAAAAACAAACAAACAAAAAAAGAUAAGCAAAGGAAUGGACUUUUUUUUUUAAUUAAAAAAAAAAAAAAGCUUGGAGGAUAAAUAGUAUUUCUUUCUCACUUUGAAAAGAAGUCAUUUAUAAAUUCAGUGGCUAUCUAUAUGUUUUUCUGUGAAUAGUACAGUUAAGUUUAUCAUAACUAGCAAUACAUAGCAAUAAUCCAUAUUCGUUAUUCACAACUGAAUGAAAAAAGCAAUUAUUAAACCAAAAAGAGUUUGGCCGAAGUAGAACACAGCCACAUACUGUGCUCUUUAUGUGCUAAUAGAAUGUUCUCUGCAUUCUUCCCAAGGCAAAACUCUAGCAACACAUCACAAUAGUCUACAAUAUGACAAUGUUACUCUUUUUAAUUAUUAUUUUAUUUGAACCCGU